AAUCACAUGAUGAGUUACUCGGAUUUUCCUUCAAGACAUAAUGGGUGAUGCAAAAAUUGAGUUUUUGAUGCA